AGGGCGAGCUGGAGCGGCAGCUGCUGCAGGCCAACCCCAUCCUGGAGGCCUUCGGGAACGCCAAGACCGUGAAGAAUGACAACUCCUCCCGCUUCGGCAAAUUCAUUCGCAUCAACUUUGAUGUCAAUGGCUACAUUGUUGGAGCCGUACAACAAAUACCGCUUCCUGUCCAAUGGACACGUCACCAUCCCCGGGCAGCAGGACAAGGACAUGUUCC
rnacentral:lncRNA from 1 species